UGGGGAAUAUUGCACAAUGGAGGGAACUCUGAUGCAGCGACGCCGCGUGAGUGAUGAAGGAAUUCGUUUCGUAAAACUCUGUUCUAUGGGAAGAAAAGGACUGUACCAUAGGAGAAAGCUCCGGCUAAAUACGUGCCAGCAGCCGCGGUAAUACGUAUGGAGCGAGCGUUGUCCGGAAUUAUUGGGCGUAAAGGGUGCGCAGGCGUCUUUACAAGUUGGAUGUGAAAUAUUGUGGCUCAACCACAAACGUGCAUCCAAAACUGCAAAGCUUGAGUUCCGGAGACGUCAGUGGAAUUCCUGGUGUAGCGUUGGAAUGCGUAGAUAUCAGGAGGACUACCUGUGGCGAAGGCGUCUUACUGCACUUAAACUGACGCUCAGGCCCGACAGCGUGGGGAGCAAACAGG
rnacentral:rRNA from 1 species